rnacentral:rRNA from 1 species
AGAGAGAGACAUGCGCGCAUAUCAAUAAGCGGAGGAAAAGAAACUAACUAAGGAUUCCCUCAGUAACGGCGAGUGAAGCGGGAAGAGCUCAAAUUUGAAAUCUUGCAAGGGUUCUACCUUUACGAAUUGUAGUUUAAAGAAGUGUUUUCUGUUGGAGUUUUGGUAAAAGUUCUUUGGAAUAGGACAUCAUAGAGGGUGAGAAUCCCGUAUUUGACCAUUAUUUCCAGCUUUGUGAUACACUUUCAAAGAGUCGGAUUGUUUGGGAAUGCAGUCCAAAAUGGGUGGUAAAUUUCAUCUAAAGCUAAAUACUGGCGAGAGACCGAUAGCGAACAAGUACCGUGAGGGAAAGAUGAAAAGAACUUUGAAAAGAGAGUUAAACAGUACGUGAAAUUGUCAAAAGGGAAGCGUUUGACACCAGUGUUGUUUUCUCGAAAAUCAAUUAAAAAAGGCAGGAUUUGUGUUGUAUUGACUUUAUCAGCUUUCUGCACUCUUUUCUUGUUUUUUUAAUGCACUUUUCGUUUAACAAGUCAACAUCAAUUUCUUUUGUUGUAAAAGGGUCAUUGGAAGGUGGCUUUCUUUUCGGAGAAAGUGUUUAUAGCCUUUGGCCUCUGCAAUCGGAGAGAUUGAGGUCUGCAGCGUAGAUCCUUCGGGGUUAGAUACAUUUGUGCUAAGUUAUAGCCUUUCAUAGACAACUUGUUGACUAUGAUCAGUCAUGUAGCUUACUCGCUUAUGCUAUUUUACCUACGCUUAGGAUGUUGAUGUGAUACUGCGAGCA